rnacentral:lncRNA from 1 species
AUAGAGUGCAAUAGUAAGUUUCAUUAGAUAAAGGAGUAUAGCAUAGCAAAACAAAAGGAAGAAAUAGAAAAAAACUCUCUAUUUCUAGUGAUGAACCCGUUCGGCUGCGAAAACUACAAAACCCAAACCUCAAUGGCUCACCAGCACAAGCAUUCUAGGCUCCAACUCGACUACUCCAAAAGCAAUAAGAAACGGCCAUCACAAACCCCAACUACCCCACACCACACCAAUCGAAAAACAAUCACAAACACACACAUCCCAUCUACAAUAGACUCCAGGGUUGGAGUUGGGAUGGUGGACGAACUCCUAUGCCCAACAAAUGUCGGUGAUGAGAGCAACAACUCACAAGAAGCGACCAAAAACUACAACAAAAUAUAAAUCCAAGAUAGAAUAGAGAAAAAUACAACCCCCAAAUUUGCUUACGACAAAUUGAUAGAUAAAUCUAGGGCCACAAGAGGGCCAGGAAAACCACAAUAGGGUUGGUUCCUUGGGGCCACCCAUAGGCCGUGCCCAAUUUUGGUGUUCAACUUAGGCCGUUAGAUACAGAGGUCUACGAAAACCUGAAGCAACAACCAUGACCAAAGAGACCGAAGACAGGAUUCCGUGGGGGAGAUCUCAUCUUGGGCGUGGCGUUAACCCACUUUUGGAAGAAAAGAGAAGAGGAAAAAAGCAAGAGAGUUGACAACGAAGAAGAGAUCAGCAAAGGCGGGAAGGAAUGGAAAAGCAAAGGGAGGGGUGGGGUGGAUCGAAGAGACGAACAGCAGGAGGAGCAGAAAGAGGGAGGAGGGGGAACCUCCAAAACUACAAAAGGAAACACUAACAAAGAAGCGAAAGAAAGGGAGAGAAGGAAAAAAAAGAAAACGCAGAAGAAUUAGGGAUGAGGGGGAACAAACCUAGAAAUUCCUAGAGAGAAGCAAUGUAGAGAGAGAAAGGGAGAACGAGGAAACCAAAGAAGGAGAGAUGCUGGCUGCACACAGUGAAACCUGCUUGCUAGGCUCUCGAUCAGGCUGCAGGAGGCUGGACCAGCUCGCAGGAUGCUGGAUCUGGUUGAAGGUGAAAGGAUCUGGCUUACUUGAUUCUAGAAGUAGCCUGUUGGUUGCUGGAUCUGGCUUGGUUGGGGUUUUGAGCUAAAAAAUGAUGAAUGUUUUCUCUUGAUCUCACCUAAAUUUUGUUUUGAUGCGAAGGAAAAUUCCUGGAAAUCAAUGAGUGAUGAACAAAUUGUGUGAAGAUCCACCAAAGAAAUGAGAAAGGAAUUAAAUUUUCAUGUUUUGGUUUUUGUGAAGCAAACCAGCAAAUAAAUGAGAGAGGAAUUAAUUCUUAAUGUUUUGGUUUUGUGAAGAAAAAAAAAGGGUAAACCGGCCAAUCAGUAGAUGGACUUGGACAAAUUUCCAACAAGGAAAACUGGCAUAUCAUCCAGUAGGAUUUCUGAGACCUCGGUUGUGUGCUGAUGCCAGAUAUUUUUGUAUAAAUAUUUAUUAAAGAGAAAUGACACCAUAUUUAUUUGUUUUACUGGAGCAUGUAAAUGUUUAUUUCGACCGUGGUGGUCAAUAGUUAAGUUUUUCUUAUUAUUGGAAAAAUAAAACAAAAAGAGAAAGGUAGUUAGAGUGGGAGAGAAAACCAACCAAACUACCCUUAAGGGGUGGGUUGAUGGCAAAUAUAAUUACUAGUGCUUAAAAAACCUGCAAUGCAGAUUGGAAAUUGCCAUUCUGUAAUAGGAGUUGGCCGGGAAAGUGUUGGUCCCAGCCCUAUUCCCCC